UGUCUCAAGAAAUCUAGAAAUUUUGAGAAA
rnacentral:piRNA from 1 species